rnacentral:rRNA from 1 species
UACGUAGGGGGCAAGCGUUGUCCGGAAUUAUUGGGCGUAAAGCGCGUGUAGGCGGUCCGGUAAGUCUGCUGUGAAAGUCCAGGGCUCAACCCUGGGAUGCCGGUGGAUACUGUCGAGCUAGAGUACGGAAGAGGCGAGUGGAAUUCCCGGUGUAGCGGUGAAAUGCGCAGAUAUCAGGAGGAACACCGGUGGCGAAGGCGGAUCUCUGGGCCUUACCUGACGCUCAGGCGCGAAAGCUAGGGGAGCGAACAGG